rnacentral:rRNA from 1 species
GUGCUUAGUUAGGUAAGUCUAUCGCACCGGGCCGGCUCUCCAGCGGACGAGCGGUGACACUCAAUGUCUUCACCGUCCUCGUCGCUUCCCCAGCUCGCGGCAGCACACAGCGGCGGCCCCCGGCACGCAGCGGCACACAGCGGUCGGGCGCCGGUCGAUGGCGUACGCCGUCGGUGUGGCGUCCAGUGUCGAGCGCCGUUGAUGCGCACGCGUGCGUGCGUGUUCGAUAGCAGCGCGGCGCUCGAAUCGGACCGGUGGGUGUCGACGGCGUUGGUGUGCACCCGAGAAGGCUGUGGGUGGCGGGUGCCAGCUGGACACUCGGUGUGUACGUGGCGGCGCUUCGUGGAGAACUAGGGGAGGUACCGGAGCACGAGCGGCAGCGUCAGGUAGUGGGAUCUCCGGCUCGCCCCGUUCUAGGCACCUCGACGCGUACCCCAGUGGUAUAGCAGUAGCACGAAGAGUUAAGACCAGCCCAUAGUGAACCCAGCCCGCCGUCUCUACCGCUUAAGGAGGAGCACACGGACUCCCACCACGUUAGGAUAUGAAGCUCUUUAUUUUAGAAUACCAAUAUACGAUACUCAAUUCCACUUUGGCACUUUCCGACGAACUUAACAUACGGAGUGAGUGCAUUACUUAGGAAACACGUCUCUCGAGAAAAACUACGGGAGUAUUCAUUACUUAAACGAUGAGUCGUUUUUGUCAUCGAUAAACACAAUACCCUAUGACGAACGAAGAACACAUUUUUACUGCUAUACCGAAAUCAAAUACGUUUUAUUAGUAGGUCCAUAAAUUUCAAGCAGGUUCAUGUGUAAAUCUUGGACAAUGCCGGGAACAUACACGCGUGAAGAGAUCAUACUGGUACAUAAUCAACUGUUUACUUAUAUGUAGUUUCCCGUG